CCGAAGAGAUUUGGCUGUGCUCGAAAGAGAACCGUAACACAGGUGCUGCAUGGCUGUCGUCAGCUCGUGUCGUGAGAUGUUGGGUUAAGUCCCGCAACGAGCGCAACCCUUGUCAUUAGUUGCUACAUUCAGUUGAGCACUCUAAUGAGACUGCCGGUGACAAACCGGAGGAAGGUGGGGAUGACGUCAAGUCCUCAUGGCCCUUAUGGGUAGGGCUUCACACGUCAUACAAUGGUACAUACAGAGGGCCGCCAACCCGCGAGGGGGAGCUAAUCCCAGAAAGUGUAUCGUAGUCCGGAUCGCAGUCUGCAACUCGACUGCGUGAAGUUGGAAUCGCUAGUAAUCGCGGAUCAGCAUGUCGCGGUGAAUACGUUCCCGGGUCUUGUACACACCGCCCGUCACACCAUGGGAGCGGGUUUUACCAGAAGUAGGUAGCUUAACCGCAAGGAGGGCGCUUACCACGGUAGGAUUCGUGACUGGGGUGAAGUCGUAACAAGGUAGCCGUAUCGGAAGGUGCGGCUGGAUCACCUCCUUU
rnacentral:rRNA from 1 species